GAUGAACGCUGGCGGCGUGCCUAAUACAUGCAAGUCGAGCGAACAGACGAGGAGCUUGCUCCUCUGACGUUAGCGGCUGACGGGUGAGUAACACGUGGAUAACCUACCUAUAAGACUGGGAUAACUUUGGGAAACCGGAGCUAAUACCGGAUAAUAUAUUGAACCGCAUGGUUCAAUAGUGAAAGACGGUUUUGCUGUCACUUAUAGAUGGAUCCGCGCCGCAUUAGCUAGUUGGUAAGGUAACGGCUUACCAAGGCGACGAUGCGUAGCCGACCUGAGAGGGUGAUCGGCCACACUGGAACUGAGACACGGUCCAGACUCCUACGGGAGGCAGCAGUAGGGAAUCUUCCGCAAUGGGCGAAAGCCUGACGGAGCAACGCCGCGUGAGUGAUGAAGGUCUUCGGAUCGUAAAACUCUGUUAUUAGGGAAGAACAAAUGUGUAAGUAACUAUGCACGUCUUGACGGUACCUAAUCAGAAAGCCACGGCUAACUACGU
rnacentral:rRNA from 1 species